rnacentral:rRNA from 1 species
GAUGAACGCUGACAGAAUGCUUAACACAUGCAAGUCAACUGUGGCGGACGGGUGAGUAACGCGUAAAGAACUUGCCUCCCAGCUAGGGACAACAUUUGGAAACGAAUGCUAAUACCUGACACUGUGAGAGAGCUUUGCGUCCCAUUAGCUAGUUGGAGAGGUAACGGCUCACCAUGGCGAUGAUGGGUAGCCGGCCUGGGAGGGUGAUCGGCCACAAGGGGACUGAGACACGGCCCUUACUCCUACGGGGGGCAGGAGUGAGGAAUAUUGGACAAAUGGCCAAGGUCUGAUCCAGCAAUUCUGUGUGCACGAUGAAGUUUUCGGAAUGUAAAGUGCUUUCAGUUGGGAAGCGGUACCAACAGAAGAAGUGACGGCUAAAUACGUGCCAGCAGCCGCGGUAAUUC